UUGCUGUAUAUGUUUUUUCUUCCAAUCUAUUGACCCCGCGUCUUUUCACGCCGGUUGCUGAUAUGAAUUUAGACUAACGAUAAUUGAUAAGCCUCAGUAUAAAUGAUUAACGGAUAGUAGCAAUAAACAACGAGGUGGAGUUCAAACAUGGAGAAUCCAUGCUAAAGACAUUCAGCUUAUCCUCUCGCUAGCAAAGGCAGAAUCGAGAUUCCUUAUUACGAAAUUAUUAUCAUAUAGAUAUUAUUAUAUUAAAGAAUUUUAGUUUAUAACGGUUAAUUUAUUUAUUUACAAAAUAUCUCUAGUGUAAAGGAAAGCAAACCUUUUAAAAGUCUAUAGGCAGUCUAAAGAUUCCUUGCGUUCCUCAAAUUAGUACCAAAUACUCGCCUUUUUGCCCUUCUUACCAACCUUUUCUAUGGAAAGGAUGAUUCCAGCGUAACAAACUAACAAUAUCACUCACCCAGUCGUCUUCUUUGUGCGAUCGAAUGAUGCAAGGAAUUGCAUUGUCUUUUACACUAGUGAUGUCGAUUCGCUGUCCUAUGUCUGUAAGACCAAGAGGUCGUCCAUCUAUCGAAAGUUGCGGUCGUACUCUUGAUUUGUUUGAUGUUUCAAUACUGAUUUUAAAAGUAUCGGGAAACAAAACCGGUCGGAAUGAAAGCGAGUUGGGGCAAAUGGGUGUGAGCAAAAGAGCAUUGAUUGAAGGAUGGACGAUAGGCCCGCCGGAGGAAAGUGAAUAUGCUGUAGAGCCAGUAGGUGUAGAAAUGAUAAGGCCAUCUGCAACGGCCUCUGUCAAAAACUUGUCAUUUACAAACACUUUUAGCACUGCCAUGUGAGGACUUAAACCUCGAUGGAUAUGCAUUUCAUUCAUAGCGUAAAUUGAUUCGUUAUACAAUUUGGUUUUCAUUGCUACACGUAGUCUCAUCCGCAUAAGCACGAACGAUCGUGAGUUGUAAAAAUCGGCGAAUGCAGUUUGAAACGAUCCAAAGUCAAAUGGUAGUAAAAAUCCUAACGUUCCCAAAGAAAAUGAGAGUAUAGGAGGCAUUCCUGAUCUUGCGAAUAAAGAUGCAGCAUGCAAAAUAGUUCCAUCACCCCCUACAGUUAUAAUUGCAUCCACCUUCUGCUCCAAAUCCGAGAUUUCUGUCCACGUGUACAGAUUUAGAUAAGAAAAUUUUUUUGCGACGUCUGUUUCUGUAAUAAUGCAAAUAUCUGGAUAAGUUUGUUGUAGAUGCUGUACCAAGGUCUCGAAGCAGUGAUCAACACGUUCGUCCAUUCUUUUCUUUAAAAUCAAGAUGUUUUUGGGCGGCUUCGGCCAUUGUAGCUGUUUCAAAUUAGAUUUCCCACCGAUUGAUUGUGGGGAUGCACAUUCUAUUACAUAAGAGUCAGCUUUGCCUGGAUGAAUUUUUGUUCACACUACCUUUAUACACUGGAACAAUGCGAUUCUCUAAGGUGUUUACAAGGCGUAUUGACUUUGAAUAGACCGAGUUAUAACGAAAAUAUUGUAAAGAACCUAAAUUAAUAAUCGAAAAUCCUUUCAAUUGGCGAAAAUUAGGAGCUAAACAGACUGCUGUAUUUCUAACACUAAUUCUAAAGCCAUUUGCCGCUCUUAUCAUUA